CAAAGUUUGCACGGUAUCAUUACCUAAACAAAAGUUCUCCAGCAAGGGUAGAAAUAUUUGAGAAAUAUUACCACUUCUAAUCACACCAAUGGCACAGACAUUAACAAGCCUUUUCAUUGCUCGUUUACGUCUGUGCAACUGAAUAUGCAAAAUGUUAUUGAAAAAAUUGGCUUCUUCAUCACCUUCGUAAAGCAAAGGUUGCAUAUCCGAAAUUGCAUCGACCAUCGUUAACGAUUUAAUAGAAUAACUAAGCAAGCCAAUAAACUCUUGCCGAAUGAGUUCAUUUUUAUUUUUCAUUUGAUUUUUGAUGAAGGGAAAAAUAAACUUAACAAAGACAUCAAUCUUAAACUGAUUUGAUGCAUCAUUCAUAGUUAUUGAUUCAAUGAACCGUUUAAUCCCCAGGGACGCACUAGCGCGAAUAGCCAGCUCUUCAGCGUCUUGAACGUAAAAGAAGAAGUUAUAGAGCACAGGCAGCCAAGCUAAAUCUGAAAUCAAAGAAAAGUGUUUUUCAUUAAAUGAGGUAAAAGCAGAUAAGCGACGCUCAAAAUCUGGUUCAUCAAGCCGUUUUUUAGAAAUAGAAUUUAUUUCUUCAACAAAUACUGAGCUGAAAAUAAGGUUAUCAUCAAUUGUUGAAUAAAUCUUCAAAAGAUCGUUCAAAUGUUGACGAGCCUUGAUGUCAACCAUAGAAGUAUAUAGAUGCAUAAUAGUAUCAAAAUCAUUUGUCUGUGAUAUUGAAGCAUGCAGCCAUUUCGUAUUGGUUGGAAGAAGUUUACAAAGCAAAACUAAAAUAUUAGACUUAACAUUUGAAGGGACCAGACGGUUGGGUUUCCUCAAAAAUGAAACCAACAGAUUAAGUAAAGGCGAAGAGUCAAUAUCUAAUGACAUAUAUUCUGAUACAGCAGAUAAUGCCUGAACGGAUCCAUCCAUUACACGAUUAUUAUUGCAAAAUUGGGGAUUCUUCAAAAUAUUCGAAAGACUCGCAAAAAUAAGUGUGAUGUUCGGCAUAACCAAAUUUGCCAAGAUCUUUUCUCUUAACUGCGAUUCACUUUCUUCUGAUUGUAAAUGAGUUAUGACCAAGUUCAAAGUAUCAAGAAUGUAUAGCAACACCGGCAAUUUGACGGCAGUGUGAGACGCAGUGUUAAGCAAAGCAGUUAAUAUAUGAGAAGAAAACUCAAGGACGCUAUCUAAAUAGGCUUCAUUCUCAAACCAGCAACGGAAAAUUUUCAUUAGAUUUGACACACUUUGUGUGUUUUCAUCAGCAAACCGAUCAAGGCGUGGAACCACAAAAGCAGUAUAUAUAAAAACAUUAUAAGGCUUGAAAUCGACAUCAGAGCAGGACUUCAAAAAAAGUAGAAAAACUUUCAGUGAUAGCUGUCUGACCGUAUAUGCCAUUUUCACCUCAAAAUUCUCGAAAGCCUCUUGAGAGGAAAUCUGAUCAUCGGAUACAACCAAAUUAUAGAGAACGGCAUUCAGAAUUUUGGGAGCAACUGAAGAAAGUUUAGAAGAAAUCUGCAAUAAAAGUUCCUCGGUCAUUGUCAGAAAACCAAUUUGUCGCCGUAGUGUCAAAGAAGGAAUGUUUCCAGUGUCGAUCUCCAAAUUAUUAUUAGCGUUCAAUUUGACCUCAAGACCAUUAUAGGGUCGUAACAUAAUAUCAACUAAAAUCUGUAAAUCUUCUACUUGCAUAUUCCCAAGUGCAGAUAAAAUUGUUGAUCGUCUGGCAGCUUGAUUCUUUUGUCCUCCAUAUCCCUUAGACACCAUUUUUCCGUAGAGAAUGGAUAUUACAACAGGCAUAAGUAACGGACGAUGAAUAUCUUGAAUUUUGCUAUCUGCGUAAUCCACAAAUAGAAAU